rnacentral:siRNA from 1 species
UGACUGCAAACGAAGGGUAGUU